AGAGCCUGAACCAGCCAAGUAGCGUGCAGGAUGACGGCCCUAUGGGUUGUAAACUGCUUUUAUAAGGGAAUAAAGUGAGCCUCGUGAGGCUUUUUGCAUGUACCUUAUGAAUAAGGACCGGCUAAUUCCGUGCCAGCAGCCGCGGUAAUACGGAAGGUCCGGGCGUUAUCCGGAUUUAUUGGGUUUAAAGGGAGCGUAGGCCGGAGAUUAAGCGUGUUGUGAAAUGUAGACGCUCAACGUCUGCACUGCAGCGCGAACUGGUUUCCUUGAGUACGCACAAAGUGGGCGGAAUUCGUGGUGUAGCGGUGAAAUGCUUAGAUAUCACGAAGAACUCCGAUUGCGAAGGCAGCUCACUGGAGCGCAACUGACGCUGAAGCUCGAAAGUGCGGGUAUCGAACAGGAUUAGAUACCCUGGUAGUCCGCACGGUAAACGAUGGAUGCCCGCUGUUGGUCUGAAUAGGUCAGCGGCCAAGCGAAAGCAUUAAGCAUCCCACCUGGGGAGUACGCCGGCAACGGUGCAACUCAAAGGAAUUGAGGGA
rnacentral:rRNA from 1 species